rnacentral:rRNA from 1 species
UCGCAGAUCAGCAUGCUGCGGUGAAUACGUUCCCCGGGCCUUGUACACACCGCCCGUCACACCAUGGGAGUCGGUAACACCCGAAGUCGGUAGCCUAACCGUAAGGAGGGCGCCGCCGAAGGUGGGAUUGAUGACUGGGGUGAAGUCGUAACAAGGUAAC